AAGUGACGUACAGAAAACAUUAGUGAG
rnacentral:piRNA from 1 species